AUAAAGAGCUGGAGCUUCCUUUUAUGUCCAACAUUUGACCGCUCGUCUUAUCUGAAAAAUUUGUAUGAUUAGUAUUUUUUUAUUAUUUGGAUGAUAAAACAUGAAUAAUACUUUAUGUGUGACUAAUUUUUUAUAAAUUUUUUAAAUAAGACGGACGAUCAAAUAUUGCACACGAAAACCUAUAACUACACUUACA
rfam:Oryza punctata chromosome 3, whole genome shotgun sequence.